GGCCUGAUCAGAUUGGGACUUGGGAGUAGGCAGAGGAGCAUUACUGAACUCCUUCAGAAUCAGAGGCAUGAAGGUAAUGCAAGGAUUAUUAGAAGCAUACUCUCAAAUAAAAAAAUGCGCCAAAAUCAGUCAGCCAUGCCUCAAUCAGAGCAGGCAGUACCAACAUCUGAUCUACAAAAAGAAAGAUAACCACCUCGCCCUGUACAUGUGCAAUUGAUUUGGAAGUAAUUUAUUUUUAAAAAAUAAUUUGUAUUAUU